rnacentral:tRNA from 1 species
AAAUUUAUAAUUAAUUUAAAUAUUUUAUUUAUAUUUAAUUUAUAUAAAUAUAUUUUAUAAAUUAAAUAUUUAUUAAAAUUA